CUUCAAUCUCUAGCACCAGGGACUGGAUGUCAUUAUCAGUGAUUCUUUUGAUGUGGCCAUUCCGUACCUACAAGAAAGAAAAUUCGAUUAGUACUGAAAUAUCUGACAAGGCUGAAUAGGACUAUUUAAAGAAAACCACGGUAGCCCAAGAGGCGUACAAAGAAAUUUGUGACACAGCACACUGAAGCUUAUAUACAUUAGUCUCUGUGAGCUCUGUCACUGUGAGUCUGAUCCACUCAUGGUCUGCCUGGUGUUCUAAAGGUGACAUCUGAUGUCACUGCCCACCUUUUCCACAACUGCAACCAAGUCUUGUCUCCUUAAAAAAGAAUAAGCUCAAGCAAGAGCCAAGACCAGUUAUGAAGCAUCAUUUCUAUCUUCGACAAUGCUUAGCACAGUGCUAGCCAUAAACUAAGCG
rnacentral:lncRNA from 10 species